rnacentral:tRNA from 1 species
GGGGAUAUAGCUCAGUUGGUAGAGUGCUUGCCUCACACAAGGCCUUGGGUUCAAUCCCCAGCACCACAA